rnacentral:rRNA from 1 species
UACGUAGGGUGCAAGCGUUGUCCGGAAUUAUUGGGCGUAAAGCGCGCGUAGGCGGUCCGGUAAGUCCGCUGUGAAAGUCGGGGGCUCAACCCUCGGAUGCCGGUGGAUACUGUCGGGCUUGAGUACGGAAGAGGCGAGUGGAAUUCCCGGUGUAGCGGUGAAAUGCGCAGAUAUCGGGAGGAACACCCGUAGCGAAGGCGGCACUCUGGGCCGGAACUGACGCUGAGGAGCGAAAGCGUGGGGAGCAAACAGG